UCCACAAUUCAAUCCUCCUCUUUCUCCUCCUCCCUCUCCUCCUCCUCCUCAUCUGAGGAAACAACCACCUCAAAACCCUCCUCAGCUAUCUCCUCAGAUGAGGGAGGACCCUCCUCUCUUCUCAUCAGAUUCACUUGAGCUUCAAAGUCCUGCAUCUCCUGAUCUGCUGCCUCAGAUUCUACCCCUGCAGCAAGCAAAUUAGCAUGCUCAGAAAGCAACACUGCCUCCUCAAUGUUCUGAAUCAUUGAGCACAUACAAGAUCUAAACAAGGCCUCAAUCCCAUGAUUCUCUUCAGAAGCCUGCUAAUCAAUUAGACCACAGAAUCAUUAUCAAAAAGCAUUAUCAAUGAAUAUAUUCAAAAUACAACCUACCAGCUUGGGCUUCUUUGCCUCACAGGCAAGCACAUCUUCAAUCUCCUUCUGACAGUGCUUUUUCACAGCCGCCAUCUUCUCAGCCCUCUCCCUCUCCACCUUGGUCUCAAACCAUUUCCAUGAGCACUCCUGGUCCCAGUGCUGCUGCAUCAGCAACUCCACUGCUUCCUUCUCCAACUUCUCACAUGUUGGGCCAUCGGCAUCAUUCCUUUCAUAAUAUUAGUCAAAUUCCAGCAGAAGCAUUACUCAAGAUUGUUAUCAAUCUGCUCCAUUGCAGAGUUUUUUCAAGGUGAUAUGGUGUGUCUUGCGGUCAGCUUCUCCACACUUGAAGGAUUCUUUCUCUUCCCCCUCAAGGUGAUGGCGGCGCUUGCGUGCCUUAGUGGUACGCAGAGCCACCAAAUGUUCCUUGAAGAGGGGGGCAGACAUGUUUUCAGCAGGAGAGGGGGAGAGAAACACAUUCUGAUUGUGA
rnacentral:sRNA from 1 species